rnacentral:lncRNA from 1 species
ACAAGUGGUUAAGCAAACCAUUCCUGUUCAAGUAGAGAUAGUGGCAGCAGAAGAUGAGACAGUCCAUGAGGGACAAAUCCUUAGACCCCAACAAAAUCAAGGCGUUGAGUCAUGAGUAGCAGGAUGUAACCAGAUGGUGUUAGUUAACCGACAUCAGGAUGCUGAUCAAAUUGUCGAUCAAUAUCGGCAAGAAGACUUAGCAGUGGAAAAUAAUUUGACAACUAUUGUCGAAAGAAUUAUGGCUAGGAAUGGUAUGAGUGCCACAUUGCAAAGGCCAC